UACAGAGGGCGCGAGCGUUGUCCGGAAUCACUGGGCGUAAAGGGCUCGUAGGCGGUUUGACGCGUCGGGAGUGAAAACUCAGGGCUCAACCCUGAGCGUGCUUCCGAUACGGGCAGACUAGAGGUAUGCAGGGGAGAACGGAAUUCCUGGUGUAGCGGUGGAAUGCGCAGAUAUCAGGAGGAACACCGGUGGCGAAGGCGGUUCUCUGGGCAUUACCUGACGCUGAGGAGCGAAAGCAUGGGGAGCGAACAGG
rnacentral:rRNA from 1 species